AACGAACGCUGGCGGCAUGCCUAACACAUGCAAGUCGAACGAGACCUUCGGGUCUAGUGGCGCACGGGUGCGUAACGCGUGGGAACCUGCCCUUAGGUUCGGAAUAACUCCCCGAAAGGGGUGCUAAUACCGGGUAAUGUCUUCGGACCAAAGAUUUAUCGCCUUUGGAUGGGCCCGCGUUGGAUUAGCUAGUUGGUAGGGUAAAAGCCUACCAAGGCGACGAUCCAUAGCUGGUCUGAGAGGAUGAUCAGCCACACUGGGACUGAGACACGGCCCAGACUCCUACGGGAGGCAGCAGUGGGGAAUAUUGGACAAUGGGCGAAAGCCUGAUCCAGCAAUGCCGCGUGAGUGAUGAAGGCCUUAGGGUUGUAAAGCUCUUUUAACCGGGAUGAUAAUGACAGUACCGGGAGAAUAAGCUCCGGCUAACUCCGUG
rnacentral:rRNA from 1 species